UGCCUGGUGGUAGCUCAG
rnacentral:misc_RNA from 1 species